rnacentral:rRNA from 1 species
UUUCUUAAAGAAUUAAUUUUAAGUAAAUCCUGCUCAAUGUAAUUAUAAAUAGCCGCAGAACUACUGUGCUAAGGUAGCAUAAUCAUUAGUUUUUUAAUUAAAAACUAGAAUGAACGGAUCAACAAUUCAAUUACUUUUUAAAACUAAAAAUAAAAAUUUUAUUAAAUAUAAAAAUAUAUUUAUAAAUUAGAAAGACGACAAGACCCUAUCGAACUUAACUAUAGUUAAGCUGGGGCAGCUAAUUAAUAAACAUUUUAAUUUUAAAAAUUAUAAAAAUGAUCCAUUAUAAAUGACCAAAUGAACAAGUUACCGUAGGGAUAACAGCGUUAUAUUUUUUUCAAGUUCUUAUAUAAAAAAAAGAUUGCGACCUCGAUGUUGAAUUAUUUACCUUUAAAAAGCAAAAUUUUUAAAAAGUAGGUCUGUUCGACCUUUAAUAUUUUACA